rnacentral:rRNA from 1 species
AACGCGAAGAACCUUACCUGGGCUCGAAGCGCAGUGGACCGGGGUAGAAAUAUCCCUUCCUCGCAAGAGGCUGCUGCGGAGGUGCUGCAUGGCUGUCGUCAGCUCGUGUCGUGAGAUGUUGGGUUAAGUCCCGCAACGAGCGCAACCCUUAUCCCUAGUUGCCAUCGGGUCAAGCCGGGCACUCUAGUGAAACCGCCCAGGAUAACUGGGAGGAAGGUGGGGAUGACGUCAAGUCCUCAUGGCCCUUAUGUCUGGGGCUACACACGUGCUACAAUGGUCGGUACAGAAGGCAGCGAAGCCGCGAGGUGGAGCAAAUCCAAAAAGCCGAUCUCAGUUCAGAUUGUAGUCUGCAACUCGACUACAUGAAGACGGAAUUGCUAGUAAUGGCAGGUCAGCAUUACUGCCGUGAAUACGUUCCCGGGCCUUGUACACACCGCAUAC